rnacentral:lncRNA from 1 species
ACAACCCCACAUUUGAACCUUUAUUUUUUAAUCCAUCUCUUUCAUUCACCUCCCACCCACACCAACCACCCACCCACCACCUCCCAGUCGCCCUCACCCGCCAUCUGCUCAUCCAUCUCUCCCUCUCCAGCCGCUGCCACCAGCGCUCUGAUCUGCCUCUUUCUUUGCUGUUGCCGCCGGUGUCACGGUGGAGUGUCCACCGCCGGCGACACUACAACCACUUCCACUCCCGGACACCACCUUCGAUCGCAAUCAUCCCCCCACCCCAGCCGCCAUCAUCUUCACCUGUCAGGCCCGUCUUCUUUCGGCCUCGACUUGCUGCUGUUGAUUUUGUGCACUCACAUCUGAAACAAUCGUCAAUGAUGAUUAAUGCUAGUCACCGGAACUCUAAUCUGCUGCUGAUGUUUGUAUGUGAUGGAGGUUUUGGUCUCCGGAAGGUGGGCAGAAAUAAUGGUUGGAUGUGGUGAAUUUCAUUUUUUAUGGUGUUUUUGAUUUUCCGAUGGUAAUUUUGCUUUGUAGUUGGUGGUUUUUCAGGUUUGGGGGUUGUAAUGGUGGUUUGUAGAUGGUGGUGGUGUAGUGAUUUUAAUUUUUAGACGUUGUUUUGGUUUCCUGGCGCUGAUUUAUUGUUUUCUGUUGGUGAUUUUUUAUUUUAUGACGUUGAUUUUUCAUUUUUUGACGGUGAUUUUCAGAUUUGGGGGUGGUGGUGGUGGUUUGUAAAUGGUGGUGGUGUGGUGAUUUUAAUUUUCUGGUGUUGAUUUUUGGUUUUCUGGCGGUGAUUUUUAGUUUUCUGGUGGUGAUCUUUAGUUUUCCGAUGGUGAUUUUAUGUUUGCCGGUGGUGAUUUUCUGGUGGUCGUCGGAGGUGGUGGUGGUCGCCGGAGGAGGUGGUGGUGGUCAGCGGUGGUUGAAGGUGAUAAGUAGUUGAAUUAAAAGAAGGUGAAAUAUUAAAAUAUUAAAUGAUUGGUGAGAGAUGAAUAUAAUGUAUUUAAAUGAGUGGCUGAGAUUAGAUCUCAUAUCUCACCAUAAGAUUGGUUCUCCCUGGAGCAUGACUCUCUC